GACGAACGCUGGCGGCGUGCCUAAUACAUGCAAGUUGAGCGCUGAAGGUUGGUACUUGUACCAACUGGAUGAGCAGCGAACGGGUGAGUAACGCGUGGGGAAUCUGCCUUUGAGCGGGGGACAACAUUUGGAAACGAAUGCUAAUACCGCAUAAAAACUUUAAACACAAUUUUUAAGUUUGAAAGAUGCAAUUGCAUCACUCAAAGAUGAUCCCGCGUUGUAUUAGCUAGUUGGUGAGGUAAAGGCUCACCAAGGCGAUGAUACAUAGCCGACCUGAGAGGGUGAUCGGCCACAUUGGGACUGAGACACGGCCCAAACUCCUACGGGAGGCAGCAGUAGGGAAGCUUCGGCAAGAGACGAAAGUCUGACCGAGCAACGCCGCGUGAGUGAAGAAGGUUUUCGGAUCGUAAAACUCUGUUGGUAGAGAAGAACGUUGGUGAGAGUGGAAAGCUCAUCAAGUGACGGUAACUACCCAGAAAGGGACGGCUAACUACGUG
rnacentral:rRNA from 1 species